AGCACGGAUCUCUCGGCCGCAAAAAUAACAGCUGAUGAUGAUGCUGAUUCUUGGAUCUCACCGAGAGCCUGGUUUGGACCUUGAGAGCAACUAUAAUGAAACGAUCAAGAUACAGCGUCAAGGAGAAUGGCAACCACAGCACUUUCACAACAACAGAAGGGAGUUUUUCCUUGCCACCGCGCUCAUUGGAAAGUGAUCUGCAGUUUAAAAACUGCCCAUUUUUGUUGAGCUGGUCAUGGCUGGCUGUGUUAAUUUUUUCUAUUCACUCAGCUCAGUAUCUCUGCGUAGACUGUGUAAUGUCAUACAAAAAGAUAAUAAUAAUAAGAAAAAGAUGAAACAACAAUAUUACUUUUAUUAAAGAGUUGUACGUCCUGAGUCAGAAUAUAUUGAUAAAGUUCCAGCGCAAAACUGUAUUACCCAGCAACACUAGCUUUAGUGCAGUCAAACCUCUGAAAUCCACUGAUUCUUCUAUUCGCCUAGUAUAUAACAUGCUGUCAGUGGCUGAUUUUCAUAAUGCUUCUUUAAUUUAACACGUUAUUAGACAUAUCUGUAUAUGUUUAACAAAAUAUUUAAAAUACUGAUAACAUUUACAAUAAAUAUACAUCAAUUAACCAUGCUUACAACAGUUACAAACAUUGUAAAAUAGUGUAUGAA